AGGCAGCAGUGGGGAAUAUUGCACAAUGGGGGAAACCCUGAUGCAGCCAUGCCGCGUGUGUGAAGAAGGCCUUCGGGUUGUAAAGCACUUUCAGUAGGGAGGAAGGUAGUGUAGUUAACACCUGCAUUAUUUGACGUUACCUACAGAAGAAGCACCGGCUAACUCCGUGCCAGCAGCCGCGGUAAUACGGAGGGUGCGAGCGUUAAUCGGAAUUACUGGGCGUAAAGCGCAUGCAGGCGGCCUGUUAAGUCAGAUGUGAAAGCCCGGGGCUUAACCUCGGAAUUGCAUUUGAAACUGGCAGGCUAGAGUCUUGUAGAGGGGGGUAGGAAUUUCAGGUGUAGCGGUGAAAUGCGUAGAGAUCUGAAGGAAUACCAGUGGCGAAGGCGGCCCCCUGGACAAAGACUGACGCUCAGAUGCGAAAGCGUGGGGAGCAAACAGGAUUAGAUACCCUGUAG
rnacentral:rRNA from 1 species